UCCUUCCGGUAGCUGGGUACUCUAGCUCCGGCCUAGCAACCCGAGCCCUGCCCAGGGUUGCAUAGCAACAUCCCUAGAUCCUAGCAACCACCGGACACGCCCCCUAGCAACGUCACGCCUAAACUGUGCUGCGGGUCCUUGCGGGCAAGGGGCUUGUGAACUAAGGCCAGAAUGUGAGUGGGGGGCGUGUAGCUCAGCUCCCGCUUCUGAGCAGGCCGCAGGAUUUCGCGGUCCACCCGGAGCCCUCUCCUGGAGAGUGAAGUGUUAAAGGACUGAGCUAACAUCCCCAUUUACAGAGGGGCAAACUGAAGUUCAGAAAGGAAGGCCCUCCCCAGAGGCCACAGCUUGUUCUUCCCUGCACGCCCUGGAGAGAGCAACCCCGGGCCUUGAGAGGAGGGAUGUAUUGCCCUCUUCCUAUCCCGACAGCGUAAGGAAAACCACUCAAGUUGCAGACUUCGAUUCAAGCUGCAGUUCAGCAGGGUCGACAGCGAAGUUCACACGGGUGGAUUUACAGAAACGCAAUCUCUAGGUGCCUGUCCCCUGGAACCCACUUCUCUCCCUCUCCGCUGCCUGGUCCUGCCUGCUCUCCCAUCACCUAUCCUUCCGCUCAGUUCAGAAUAUUUGGGAAAUGCUCCCAGAUGCUCUCAUGGCAACAGCUGUGCUCUGGGGCAGUGAUGGUUUGGCACCAGUGACUGGAGACUAUCUUGUGAACCUUCCUCCGAACAGUGCUGGACACAGCUGUCUUUGGAAGCCCUUCUUUGGGGAGCAGCACAGCCAGCAACAGACUUGAGACACGCAGCCCAGAAAGGCCAAUCAAUUUGUACCACAAAGGGACAGUCAACCCCAGAGUCCCCAGCCCUCCUCCCCAGAUGCCUUCCCUGGAAUAAUCACUACACAGAAGCCAGACUUCACCCAGCACAGCUUUGGUGAAACACCUGUCCCUCCUGUCAUUAGUGACAUUCUCAAUUUGUAGGUCUUGUCUCUGUUCAGCUGCCCCUAGGUCAAAUGUGGCUAUCCCAAAGUUUCUAUGCAGCAGUGUCUAACUGGACAGGCAGUGUGAAGAGCCACUUUCUGGAGCCAAGCUGCCCGGGUGUGAAGCUGGCUCUAUGACUUUGGGCAAGUCAUUUGCCUUUUCCCUAACUCGGUUUCCUCAUCUGUGAAAUAGAGAAUCUAAGAUCACUGUUCUGAUAGGGCUAUUUUGAGAUUAAAAGAAUUCAUCUAGGUAAAGAGCUGCGGCGCACAUGCUUAUCACGUUUGAGGCCCAAAGUUCAACGCCUUGCCCCAAAAAAAGAGGAGGAAGAAAAAGAUGACUUCAUCUAGGUAAAGCAUUUAGAACCAUGGCUGGCACACAGUAAGCAACAUUCAAGUAUAAGCUGCUAUUAUUUUGGCAGUGCUAAGGCUCAACCCCAACCACAUGCACACAUACCAGGCAAG